rnacentral:rRNA from 1 species
AGAGUUUGAUCCUGGCUCAGGACGAACGCUGGCGGCAUGCCUAACACAUGCAAGUCGAACGGAAGUGUAUUUAUAUACUUUAGUGGCGAACGGGUGAGUAACACGUGAGCAACCUACCUUACACAUUGGGAUAACACUGGGAAACUGGUGCUAAUACCGAAUAAGACCCCGAAAUGGCAUCAUUUAGAGGUCAAAGCGCAAGUGGUGUGAGAUGGGCUCGCGUCCAAUUAGCUAGUUGGUGGGGUAACAGCUCACCAAGGCAACGAUUGGUAGCCGGCCUGAGAGGGUGAUCGGCCACACUGGAACUGAGACACGGUCCAGACUCCCACGGGAGGCAGCAGUGGGGAAUAUUGGGCAAUGGAGGAAACUCUUACCCAGCAAUGCCGCGUGAGUGAAUUAGAAGGUCUUCGGAUUGUAAAGCUCUUUGAUUAGGGAAGAUAAUGACGUGUACCUAAAGAACAAGCCCCGGCUAACUAUGUGCCAGCAGCCGCGGUAAUACAUAGGGGGCAAGCGUUGUCCGGAAUGACUGGGCGUGAAGGGUGCGUAGGUGGUGUACCAAGUUGGAAGUGUAAUACCCAGAGCUUAACUCGGGUGCUGCUUCCAAAACUGGUUUACUUGAGUGUCGGAGGGGAAAGUGGAAUUCCUAGUGUAGCGGUGGAAUGCGUAGAUAUUAGGAGGAACACCGGUGGCGAAAGCGGCUUUCUGGACGACAACUGACACUGAGGCACGAAAGCGUGGGGAGCAAACAGGAUUAGAUACCCUGGUAGCCCACGCCGUAAACGAUGGAUACUAGGUGUAGGGGGUAUCGACUCCCUCUGUACCGAAGCUAACGCAUUAAGUAUCCCGCCUGAGUAGUACGGUCGCAAGGCUAAAACUCAAAGGAAAUUGACGGGGACCCGCACAGGCAGCGGAGCAUGUGGUUUAUUUCAAAGCAACGCGAAAAACCUUACCAGAAUUGACUUCUAUAUGCCAACUUCCAAAAUUGAUUCUUCCCUUCGAAAAAUAUAAAACAGGGGGGGGCCGGUU